rnacentral:rRNA from 1 species
UACAGAGGGGGCAAGCGUUGUUCGGAAUUACUGGGCGUAAAGGGCGCGUAGGCGGCCUUCUAAGUCGAACGUGAAAUCCCCGGGCUCAACCCGGGAACUGCGUCCGAUACUGGAAGGCUUGAAUCCGGGAGAGGGAUGCGGAAUUCCAGGUGGUAGCGGUGAAAUGCGUAGAUAUCAGGAGGAACACCGAUGGCGAAGGCAGCUCGCUGGGACGGUACUGACGCGUGAGGCGCGAAAGCGUGGGG